GGCGUGCUUAACACAUGCAAGUCGAACGGAACGGCCCUGCUUUUGUGGGGUGCUCGAGUGGCGAACGGGUGAGUAACACGUGAGUAACCUGCCCUUGACUUUGGGAUAACUUCAGGAAACUGGGGCUAAUACCGGAUAGGAGCUCCUGCUGCAUGGUGGGGGUUGGAAAGUUUCGGCGGUUGGGGAUGGACUCGCGGCUUAUCAGCUUGUUGGUGGGGUAGUGGCUUACCAAGGCUUUGACGGGUAGCCGGCCUGAGAGGGUGACCGGCCACAUUGGGACUGAGAUACGGCCCAGACUCCUACGGGAGGCAGCAGUGGGGAAUAUUGCACAAUGGGCGGAAGCCUGAUGCAGCAACGCCGCGUGCGGGAUGACGGCCUUCGGGUUGUAAACCGCUUUCGCCUGUGACGAAGCGUGAGUGACGGUAAUGGGUAAAGAAGCACCGGCUAACUACGUGCCAGCAGCCGCGGUGAUACGUAGGGUGCGAGCGUUGUCCGGAUUUAUUGGGCGUAAAGGGCUCGUAGGUGGUUGAUCGCGUCGGAAGUGUAAUCUUGGGGCUUAACCCUGAGCGUGCUUUCGAUACGGGUUGACUUGAGGAAGGUAGGGGAGAAUGGAAUUCCUGGUGGAGCGGUGGAAUGCGCAGAUAUCAGGAGGAACACCAGUGGCGAAGGCGGUUCUCUGGGCCUUUCCUGACGCUGAGGAGCGAAAGCGUGGGGAGCGAACAGGCUUAGAUACCCUGGUAGUCCACGCUGUAAACGGUGGGUACUAGGUGUGGGGUCCAUUCCACGGGUUCCGUGCCGUAGCUAACGCUUUAAGUACCCCGCCUGGGGAGUACGGCCGCAAGGCUAAAACUCAAAGUAAUUGACGGGGCCCCGCACAAGCGGCGGAGCAUGCGGAUUAAUUCGAUGCAACGCGUAGAACCUUACCUGGGUUUGACAUGGAUCGGGAGUGCUCAGAGAUGGGUGUGCCUCUUUUGGGGUCGGUUCACAGGUGGUGCAUGGCUGUCGUCAGCUCGUGUCGUGAGAUGUUGGGUUAAGUCCCGCAACGAGCGCAACCCUUGUUCACUGUUGCCAGCACGUUAUGGUGGGGACUCAGUGGAGACCGCCGGGGUCAACUCGGAGGAAGGUGGGGAUGACGUCAAGUCAUCAUGCCCCUUAUGUCCAGGGCUUCACGCAUGCUACAAUGGCUGGUACAGAGAGUGGCGAGCCUGUGAGGGUGAGCGAAUCUCGGAAAGCCGGUCUCAGUUCGGAUUGGGGUCUGCAACUCGACCUCAUGAAGUCGGAGUCGCUAGUAAUCGCAGAUCAGCAACGCUGCGGUGAAUACGUUCCCGGGGCUUGUACACACCGCCCGUCAAGUCAUGAAAGUUGGUAACACCCGAAGCCGGUGGCCUAACCGUUGUGGGGGAGCCGUCGAAGGUGGGACUGGUGAUUAGGACU
rnacentral:rRNA from 1 species